rnacentral:rRNA from 1 species
AGUGAACGCUGGCGGCAGGCCUAAUACAUGCAAGUCGAACGGACGGACAGUAAGCGUGCGCCCCUAAGGUUGGCGAGUGGCGGACGGGUGACGCAUACAUCGCCAUCUUCUUUUUCGUGGGGGACUACGUAGGGCAACUUACGCUAAUACCGCAUACGUUGUACCGGAGAAAUCAGGGGUUCUUGGCAGUUUGCGUGUCAGAUAGAGCUGGAUCCGGGCCGCAUUAGCUAGUUGGUAAGGUAACGGCCCACCAAGGCAACGAUGCAUAGCUGGCCUGAGAGGGUGAUCAGCCACACUGGAACUGAGACACGGUCCAGACUCCUACGGGAGGCAGCAGUGGGGAAUAUUCGGCAAUGGGCGCAAGCCUGAUGCAGCCAUACCGCGUGAGUGAUGAAGGCCUUCGGAUUGUAAAACCCUUUUAUUAGGGAAGAAAAGAAGUGUAAGUAUACCCCGCUGUUCUGACGGUACCCAAAGAGAAAGCACCGGCUAACUUCGUG